AUUUAGAGGAAGUAAAAGUCGUAACAAGGUUUCCGUAGGUGAACCUGC
rnacentral:rRNA from 1 species